GACGAACGCUGGCGGCGUGCUUAACACAUGCAAGUCGAACGGAAAGGCCCUGCUUUUGUGGUGUGCUCGAGUGGCGAACGGGUGAGUAACACGUGUGUAACCUGCUCUUGACUUUGGGAUAUCUUCAGGAAACUGGGGCUAAUACCGGAUAGGAGCUCCUGCUGCAUGGUGGGGGUUGGAAAGUUUCGGCGGUUGGGGAUGGACUCGCGGCUUAUCAGCUUGUUGGUGGGGUAGUGGCUUACCAAGGCUUUGACGGGUAGCCGGCCGGAGAGGGUGACGGGCAACAUUGGGACGAGGAUCCGGCCAGGACUCCUACGGGAGGCAGCAGUGGGGAAUAUGGCACAAGGGGCGGAAGCCUGAUGCAGCAACGCCGGGUGCGGGAUGACGGCCUUCGGGUUGUAAACCGCUUUCGCCUGUGACGAAGCGUGAGUGACGGUAAUGGGUAAAGAAGCACCGGCUAACUACGUG
rnacentral:rRNA from 1 species